rnacentral:sRNA from 1 species
GCGGAGGAAAAGAAACCAACAGGGAUUGCCCUAGUAACGGCGAGUGAAGCGGCAACAGCUCAAAUUUGAAAUCUGGCUCUAUUUUGGAGUCCGAGUUGUAAUUUGUAGAGGGCGCUUUGGCGUCGGCAGCGGUCUAAGUUCCUUGGAACAGGACGUCACAGAGGGUGAGAAUCCCGUAUGUGGUCGCGUGCCUUCGCCGUGUAAAGCCCCUUCGACGAGUCGAGUUGUUUGGGAAUGCAGCUCUAAAUGGGAGGUAAAUUUCUUCUAAAGCUAAAUACUGGCCAGAGACCGAUAGCGCACAAGUAGAGUGAUCGAAAGAUGAAAAGCACUUUGGAAAGAGAGUCAAAAAGCACGUGAAAUUGUUGAAAGGGAAGCGCUUGCAGCCAGACUUGCCUGCGGUUGCUCAUCCGGGCUCUCGCCCGGUGCACUCUUCCGUAGGCAGGCCAGCAUCAGUUUGGGCGGCUGGAUAAAGGCCUCUGUCAUGUACCUUCCCUCGGGAAGGCCUUAUAGGGGAGGCGUAAUGCAGCCAGCCUGGACUGAGGUCCGCGCAUUUGCUAGGAUGCUGGCGUAAUGGCUGUAAGCGGCCCGUCUUGAAACACGGACCAAGGAGUCUAACAUCUAUGCGAGUGUUUGGGUGUCAAGCCCGGGCGCGCAAUGAAAGUGAACGGAGGUGGGAACCCUUUGCGGGGUGCACCAUCGACCGAUCCUGAUGUCUUCGGAUGGAUUUGAGUAAGAGCAUAGCUGUUGGGACCCGAAAGAUGGUGAACUAUGCUUGAAUAGGGUGAAGCCAGAGGAAACUCUGGUGGAGGCUCGCAGCGGUUCUGACGUGCAAAUCGAUCGUCAAAUUUGGGCUAG